GUUAAGUUAGUUUAAUUUAAAACGCCAGCUUGUGGAUUUGGAAAUAAAAAUAUAUUUUACUUAACU
rnacentral:tRNA from 1 species